rnacentral:rRNA from 1 species
AGCCGAGCGGUAGAGAUCUUUCGGGAUCUUGAGAGCGGCGUACGGGUGCGGAACACGUGUGCAACCUGCCUUUAUCUGGGGGAUAGCCUUUCGAAAGGAAGAUUAAUACCCCAUAAUAUAAGAAACGGCAUCGUUUUUUAUUGAAAACUCCGGUGGAUAGAGAUGGGCACGCGCAAGAUUAGAUAGUUGGUGAGGUAACGGCUCACCAAGUCUACGAUCUUUAGGGGGCCUGAGAGGGUGAUCCCCCACACUGGUACUGAGACACGGACCAGACUCCUACGGGAGGCAGCAGUGAGGAAUAUUGGACAAUGGGUGAGAGCCUGAUCCAGCCAUCCCGCGUGAAGGACGACUGCCCUAUGGGUUGUAAACUUCUUUUGUAUAGGGAUAAACCUACCCUCGUGAGGGUAGCUGAAGGUACUAUACGAAUAAGCACCGGCUAACUCCGUGCCAGCAGCCGCGGUAAUACGGAGGGUGCAAGCGUUAUCCGGAUUUAUUGGGUUUAAAGGGUCCGUAGGCGGAUUUGUAAGUCAGUGGUGAAAUCUCACAGCUUAACUGUGAAACUGCCAUUGAUACUGCAGGUCUUGAGUGUUGUUGAAGUAGCUGGAAUAAGUAGUGUAGCGGUGAAAUGCAUAGAUAUUACUUAGAACACCAAUUGCGAAGGCAGGUUACUAAGCAACAACUGACGCUGAUGGACGAAAGCGUGGGGAGCGAACAGGAUUAGAUACCCUGGUAGUCCACGCCGUAAACGAUGCUAACUCGUUUUUGGGUUUUUAAGAUUCAGAGACUAAGCGAAAGUGAUAAGUUAGCCACCUGGGGAGUACGUUCGCAAGAAUGAAACUCAAAGGAAUUGACGGGGGCCCGCACAAGCGGUGGAUUAUGUGGUUUAAUUCGAUGAUACGCGAGGAACCUUACCAAGGCUUAAAUGGGAAAUGACAGGUUUAGAAAUAGACUUUUCUUCGGACAUUUUUCAAGGUGCUGCAUGGUUGUCGUCAGCUCGUGCCGUGAGGUGUUAGGUUAAGUCCUGCAACGAGCGCAACCCCUGUCACUAGUUGCCAUCAUUAAGUUGGGGACUCUAGUGAGACUGCCUACGCAAGUAGAGAGGAAGGUGGGGAUGACGUCAAAUCAUCACGGCCCUUACGCCUUGGGCCACACACGUAAUACAAUGGCCGGUACAGAGGGCAGCUACACAGCGAUGUGAUGCAAAUCUCGAAAGCCGGUCUCAGUUCGGAUUGGAGUCUGCAACUCGACUCUAUGAAGCUGGAAUCGCUAGUAAUCGCGCAUCAGCCAUGGCGCGGUGAAUACGUUCCCGGGCCUUGUACACACCGCCCGUCAAGCCAUGGAAGUCUGGGGUACCUGAAGUCGGUGACCGUAACA